GAGAUGCUGAGAUGCCAGCAGUCUACGUUAAGAUGAAAAUGGGGUAGGAGCUGACCAUGCAGGGAAGUAUAGGAAGAGGAAAGGAUGCAGCAGAGCACAAGUUCACCACAGACUGAAUCCUCUCUUAAACAGACAAUGGUUCAUAAUGGCAUGGAGACUGGGAAGUCAUUCCUGUAGGGGCUAAAGGAUCAGCUGUCACAAAAGUUUAGAGAAAAGACAGUAACAGUGCCACAACAUGGAACAGUACACUACUCCCAGCAACCGUGUGGAUUACACAGAACUUUCAGCACAGGCCAGCCUUAAGAUUAUGCUACCAUUUUCUUUCUUUUGUUACUUUGGCCAGUAUGAUGUGAAUCCUUGUCCUGAGAUCUAUGCAAACACCAAUUACAGUGCAACUCAGUGAGCCAAGAACCACUGUCUGUCAUGUGUUCAGAUAACACAGUUUCUUUGGAUGGGUGUAGUAUUGCUCCUCCACUGUCACUAAUUUGAAGUCCAGUCAUGUGUAGUUUUUCAGUACCUCUUUUCCUAGAUCCCAACUG